UUCCAGAGAUGGAGUUGGUGCCUUCGGGAACUCUGACACAGGUGCUGCAUGGCGUGUCGUCAGCUCGUGUCGUGAGAUGUUGGGUUAAGUCCCGUAACGAGCGCAACCCUUGUCCUUAGUUACCAGCACGUUAUGGUGGGCACUCUAAGGAGACUGCCGGUGACAAACCGGAGGAAGGUGGGGAUGACGUCAAGUCAUCAUGGCCCUUACGGCCUGGGCUACACACGUGCUACAAUGGUCGGUACAAAGGGUUGCCAAGCCGCGAGGUGGAGCUAAUCCCAUAAAACCGAUCGUAGUCCGGAUCGCAGUCUGCAACUCGACUGCGUGAAGUCGGAAUCGCUAGUAAUCGUGAAUCAGAAUGUCACGGUGAAUACGUUCCCGGGCCUU
rnacentral:rRNA from 1 species